CGCUAGUAAUCGCAGAUCAGCAUGCUGCGGUGAAUACGUUCCCGGGUCGUUGUACACACCGCCCGUCACACCAUGGGAGCCGGGAAUGCCCGAAGUCAGCGGCCCAACCGAAAGGAGGGAGCUGCCGAAGGCAGGCCUGGUGACUGGGGUGAAGUCGUAACAAGGUACC
rnacentral:rRNA from 1 species